CCUACGGGGGGCAGCAGUGGGGAAUAUUGGACAAUGGGGGAACCCUGAUCCAGCCAUGCCGCGUGUGUGAAGAAGGCCCUCGGGUUGUAAAGCACUUUCAGUGAGGAAGAACGCCUGGUGGUUAAUACCCAUCAGGAAAGACAUCACUCACAGAAGAAGCACCGGCUAACUCCGUGCCAGCAGCCGCGGUAAUACGGAGGGUGCGAGCGUUAAUCGGAAUUACUGGGCGUAAAGCGCGCGUAGGUGGCUUGAUAAGCCGGUUGUGAAAGCCCCGGGCUCAACCUGGGAACGGCAUCCGGAACUGUCAAGCUAGAGUGCAGGAGAGGAAGGUAGAAUUCCCGGUGUAGCGGUGAAAUGCGUAGAGAUCGGGAGGAAUACCAGUGGCGAAGGCGGCCUUCUGGACUGACACUGACACUGAGGUGCGAAAGCGUGGGUAGCAAACAGGAUUAGAUACCCGAGUAGUC
rnacentral:rRNA from 1 species